rnacentral:rRNA from 1 species
GAUGAACGCUGGCGGCGUGCCUAAUACAUGCAAGUCGAGCGAACAGAUGAGGAGCUUGCUCCUCUGACGUUAGCGGCGGACGGGUGAGUAACACGUGGAUAACCUACCUAUAAGACUGGGAUAACUUCGGGAAACCGGAGCUAAUACCGGAUAAUAUAUUGAACCGCAUGGUUCAAUAGUGAAAGACGGUUUUGCUGUCACUUAUAGAUGGAUCCGCGCCGCAUUAGCUAGUUGGUAAGGUAACGGCUUACCAAGGCAACGAUGCGUAGCCGACCUGAGAGGGUGAUCAGCCACACUGGAACUGAGACACGGUCCAGACUCCUACGGGAGGCAGCAGUGGGGAAUCUUCCGCAAUGGGCGAAAGCCUGACGGAGCAACGCCGCGUGAGUGAUGAAGGUCUUCGGAUCGUAAAACUCUGUUAUUAGGGAAGAACAAAUGUGUAAGUAACUAUGCACGUCUUGACGGUACCUAAUCAAAAAGCCACGGCUAACUCCGUG